GUGGGACGAGUGGUAAAGGUUUGUGUGAAUCUGUGGGAGCGGACACAGAUGCUAAGUCCGAAGAGAGAGAUGUCGUAAGGCAAACGUGGUGUGGAUUUUGCAUCUAAGUGUAUCUCUGAGGUCGACUACCUGUGGUCCUGAUAUUACUUAUUUGUGAUCUGCAAGAGAAGCCGAGGGACGCUGUGGAAGGAGAGGGAGAGAGAGGUUUCUGCCCGGAUGGACCCUGCUGUUUUCUCGCCCCUGACUGUCUUCACUACUGAUGAACUAACUGCCCGUUUCUGAUUGCCCCACUAACAAACUCAUUGGACUCAUGAGUACUAACUGGAACUAAAGUGCACGUAUUUUGUUUAUUGCUCAGUUUGAGUGAAGCGGCCAUCAGUUUUAGGCCUCACCGCACCCGAACUUCGAAUCAGGCCUGCAACAAGCACUGUGCUACAGGUGUAGUGUGGACAGGUUAAAGUGUGCGUGUGUGUGUGUGUGUGUGUGUGUGUGUGGGCCCACUGUUACAAAUUUGGUUAAAUUGAGUAAGUGUGUAUUUGUAACCAAAGUUAUUUUCAAAGGUUGAAAUUCAUCCCUUUUAAAGAUGUGAGCUGUUGUAACUGAAAUAACAGUUGGCACCAAAGAGUUAUUUUGUUUGGAUAAUCUUUUAUUUAUAACCCAUGUAGUCACAUUUACCGUGGUUUUGUUUGUUUAUUUGAAUUUAAUUCAUUUCAUUUUAUAAAAGUAAGUGUUUAUUUUACUUAUUUCUUCGUUGUCUAAAUAAAUACCCGGUGAGGGAUUUGUGUAAAAUAUAGUUGUGGUGGUCCUUAUUAAUUCAAUUAGAGGGUAUCAAGUAUCAUAAUUAGUUCAAUUAGAGGGUAUCAAGUAUCAUAAUUAGUAGCACUACGAACCCAGGCCCAGUCUCAUUGUACUAUAUACCCUAGCGUUACCAUAGCUACGUGGGACCCGGGUUACAUUAGUAACUACAACACUGGUACUAAGAGCCAUUUCUGAAUACUGACAACUGAAACUGAAUUUUAAGUAAUAUAUAAAAUUGCUGCCAAAACAGAUUAACUCUAACGAAGUAUGGCACU
ensembl:lncRNA